UUAACUGGGUGGGAAAGGACAGUCUCUAACCACAGCAGUAAGGUCAGGGACAGGCAGAAGUCCCGUCCCCGUACUUUCAAGACCGCCUGGGUACUCAUCUGAAAAAAGAACGUGGCUGUAUCAAAAACGCCACGGAACGGCACGGGUCUUGGGUUCUGCAGCUGUGAACGACAGAAAGGUGGCUCUGGGCUUUUUUUUGUUUUUUUGUUUUUCCUUCUCCUGACCUGAGCUUGCCACUUCGUGUUAUUUUCGGUCGAUAAGAUCUGCUCCUGUGAGCAGUGAGGUGAGGCUAUCUGUCCCUAUGUGCCAUCCCGCCUGCACCAGGUCCCUCGCCCUUCAGCUGGUCCCCCUGCUCUUCACCAGGGGCUCUCUGGGCCUCCCUCACCCUGGGACUGUGGAAGGCCAAACGGAGGCUCCCUGACCUGCUGCUUGUUGUGACCUCUCAGGCUGUUGUGCCGCACUUUCCUGAGAUUAAACACCAUCCAUCUCGGAGGGAAGGGCAUUGAGACACAGAAUGUUUGCAAGGAGGUGAAACAUUGCAUCCCGCAGGGAAGCCCUCUAAGCUCAGGAAGUAAACAACUUAAAAGAGCUUCCCCAGAAGUCCCUGAAACUACAGCUCCAUUAGGCCCCUCCCUACCCAAGCACUGUGAGUACUGAGGCCUUCUGAAGAGUUACCCUCAGACAAGACAAGCUGCCUGGAAGAAGCAGGGAUCAUCUGAACUGCCUACAGGAAACAGAGACCAGCGAAGCUGCCAGGAAAAAGGCUCAGACCACCUGAGCCACCUGGAGAGAACAGUUUCCGCCUUCUGAGCUGCCUGCAGAUAAUGCAGUGAACACCAGCUUUCAGGAGCUGUCACCCAUGCGGGGGUAGGCUUUGAGUCCUUUCAGCUCUGUAGGUAACCCUUCACCCAUGCUCCUGUGAGUAACCACAAUAGGAGUCAUCCGCUCGCCAGGCUGACUCUCGUGGUAUCUGCGCUUUGGACUGUCGUCACUUCCCUACCUGGGGGUCCUCGAGGUUUUCAGUAGGAUCAAAGGCUGCUCUAAGAUGUGUACCGAACAGAUAGGUGGAAGAACAUUUUAACUGGCAUUUGCACUGUGGAUCAAGUACUCAUGGAUGCUAGGCAAGUGCUCUACCACUGAGCUACUACAUCCUCGGCCCCAAAAAACACAUGUAUGUGUAAGAUGAUCAAGACUCAAAGCCCUUUUUGGAGCUAAUUAUCCCAAGGCAUUUUUCUUCAUCUCUGCCAUUACUGUAGCUCUAUCCAGGGCUUCCAUCUCUCCUUAAGUUAAUUCUAAUUAUCUUUCCCAUUAAUACGAUACUUUGUUGAGGUUCUUGAUUGUAUUGCCAUGAAAGUUUACACAGUGAUUUCUUACACUUGAGAGCUCUUUUACACACUUGAGCAAGAGAAAAUUAGUUCCUGCAUUCUAUUUCCUUGGAAGCAGCUGUGCUCCCCAGAGGAAAUAUUGAAACAAAUACCAGGGCUGUAGAGAUGGUUCAGCAGUUAUAACACAGCUGCUCUUCCAGAGGACCCAGGUUCAAAUCCCUGUCCCCACAUGGCCACAAACAACUAUCUGUAACUCCAGUUCCAGGGGAUCCAAUGCCCUGUUCUGACUCCAUGGACACUGAACAUGUGUGCUACAUAAGUAUACAUGCAGGAAAAAUACCCAGCACUCAGGAGGCAGAGCCAGGCGGAUCUCUGUGAGUUCAACGCCAGCCUGGUCUACAGAGUGAGUUCCAGAACAGCCAGAGCUACACAGAGAAACUCUGUCUCUA